CCUGUCUCUGUUCCAGAAUUCUGGGCUGGACUUCUCCUUAAUCGAUGGUGGAUUAUAGCAAACGUCCUCUCUCUGCCUGGAAAAUAAGUUUUGCCAAAGGAGAUGCAUCAGAGGAACUCUUGACCUUGGUUAUUAAGAAACCUGUUAAGGCAAAAAGGAAGGUGUUCUUGGGAACAGAGGUGGUGGUGUGCAGAGGAGACCCUUUAGGGUUUCAAGUGC